GUAGGGAAUAUUGCGCAAUGGCCGCAAGGCUGACGCAGCAACGCCGCGUGGGGGAUGAAGGUUUUCGGAUCGUAAACCCCUGUCGAGAGAGACGAAAGGCCAAUGGGUGAACAAUCCAUAGGCUUGACGGUACCUUUAGAGGAAGUUCCGGCCAACUUCGUGCCAGCAGCCGCGGUAAUACGGGGGGAACAAGCGUUGUUCGGAAUUACUGGGUUUAAAGCGCGUGCAGGCGGAAAGGCAAGUCCGGAUGUGAAAUCCCCCGGCUCAACCGGGGAAGUGCACUGGAAACUGCCUUUCUAGAGUGCGGGAGAGGAAAGUAGAAUUCCCGGUGUAGCGGUGAAAUGCGUAGAUAUCGGGAGGAAUACCGGUGGCGAAGGCGGCUUUCUGGUCCGCAACUGACGCUCAUACGCGAAGGCUAGGGGAGCAAACAGGAUUAGAAACCCCAGUAGUCC
rnacentral:rRNA from 1 species